rnacentral:rRNA from 1 species
UACGUAGGGGGCAAGCGUUGUCCGGAAUCAUUGGGCGUAAAGCGCGUGUAGGCGGCCCGGUAAGUCCGCUGUGAAAGUCAAAGGCUCAACCUUUGAAAGCCGGUGGAUACUGUGGGACUAGAGUACGGAAGAGGCGAGUGGAAUUCCUGGUGUAGCGGUGGAAUGCGCAGAUAUCAGGAGGAACACCAAUAGCGAAGGCAGCUCGCUGGGACGUUACUGACACUGAGGCGCGAAAGCGUGGGGAGCGAACAGG